UCAACUUUCUGAAUGCUUCGCAUACUUCUCCAUCUCUUCGACAAUGAGUCCCAUUGCGAUGGCGUGCAAAAUAUCAAGUCAGCAACUUGUAUCAGCUUCAAGUCUUGUGAACGCUCACCCGUCAAUUUUACCAAAACUUUCCCAUCACCGAGGUCAGAAAACUUGCCAUACCAUUCUUCAUAUCGACGAUCAACGAUUUCCUGAAUUGGGGCAAUGUAAACUGCAGUACCAUAAUCUUCUUGACUCCAAUGAUGUAACAAAGCAAGUUC